rnacentral:lncRNA from 1 species
GACUCGUCUGUUGAGUGGGAACCGGUGAGAGAAGGCUCCAAGAUCAAGCUCAAGACGAGAUACGGUAACUAUCUAAAAGCUAACGGUGGUCUUCCUCCGUGGAGAAACUCCGUCACGCACGAUAAUCUUCAUUUGUCGGCUACUCAUGAUUCCAUCUCGUGGGAUGUUGAUGUUGUUGAGUUCCUGAUCAAUCCUCAAGUGACGGCGGAGACAGAGCAGCCUCUGGAGCAUAGGAGGACAUCACAUUCGAGAACGUCCUCUCUUUCACUGAGAUGUGAUCAAAGUGUGAGUUCUUUUUUUAUAAUUAUAAAAACACCCUCACAAUUGGUUUAAAUUACAAUCUUGACACGAGUUUUGAUUUUGAUUAGUCGGUUGUGUAUCCACCAAAAUCGGGUGGGAGAACGAUUUACUACCAUAUAGUUGAUGAUGAAGGACACGUGGGAGAUGAAUCAACCGUUGGAUAUGCUUGCACAUUUAAAGGGAACAGCGUGGCCGAGCUAACUCAGACGCUGCGAGAAGAAACGUGCUUGGUGGAUGCUGUGGUGUGCACUCGCAGUCCAUUAGAUGGCAAGCUGUUUCCCCUCUGUUUGCAACUUCCUCCUAACAGUGGAACAUUGCAUGUCGUUUUAGUACCUUUCUGUGCUAGCAUCUAGACGUGAAGUAGAAAAAGAAUCUCUACCAGGGUCAAAAUUUACAUAUGCAAAAUUACUCAACUAAUGAAGGUGGUCAGACCAUGAGAAUUUAAACAAUUAAUCAAAAUAUGCAUAUAUUAUAUCAAAUUCAAAAUUUCACAGGGGUCAGCUGACCCAUGUGAUCCUUCAUUGGCUCCGCCACUGUAUUGGUAUCCCAUAUUGUUGUAAAUGUAAUGUUUUCCUAGUAAGCAGUUGCAAUCAUUUUUAUUCUCAUUAUCUGCUUGAAGCUCUCUCACUAUAUUCAGUUAUGACAUUAGAAAUGAGUGAUUGUCUUCUUGUGUAGUGGAAGCAUUAUGAUAUGAACCUUGUAGGAAGUCUAGAAGAUAAUCAGACUUAGCUGGUAUACAAGACUCGUGGUACUUGAGCAUUGCUUGCUCUUUAGUAAGAGUUGAUAUAACAAAUACAGUAAAUAAAUACAAAUAUUCACAAAUGAAGUCAUAUGCGAGCAUCACUAACCUGAAAAAUCAAAUUGCACAUUACUAAUGACCUUAUUCAGUAUUCACUAUGCAUCUCUACAAGGCGACCCAUGUAAGCAAAUGUUUCAGCAUCAGUGCACCUUAAAGUGGGUCGUCAAACUCAUCAUCCCGUUUUGGUUUUUUGACAUUGUUGUAUGUCUGAUGAAGGUUCUUGGCUAUGGAAGAGAGAAGAAGGUGAUUCUAGAAGCUCCAUUGUAUGAUAAAGAUUGUGUUUUGGGCAACGUUUUGGCUGCCCAUUACCUUAUCUCUUCUGACCUUUCCAGAGCCAAAACCUAUGUUAAAGCUGCAGAAUCUCAUCUUGUAAGCUCUACCUUGUUUUUUUUUCUAGUGUCUAUGUAUUCAUUCUAAGUGAAGGAAAGAUGCUCUGCAUCUAUCACUUGUCUAAAAUUCAUUGGUUUUACUCUUAGGGGAAAGCAACACCGUAUGAGAAAGCAGUUUUCAAGGCUGUUAAUUACUUGAUCUCUGAUAACAUGGACGAAGACGUGGCGUUGGAGUUACACUUUAAGGUUAGGAUGUUUCUUGGCUUUUGGUUCUUCAUAGUUCUGCUUGAUCUCCUAGCCGUUAUUCUAACUCUCAUGUAAACUCUUUAUGUUUUUCAGUUAUUGAAAAAGUUUCCCAAAGAUUUGCUAUCUUGGAAGAGAGUAGAGAUUAUGUGUUUCUACAUGGGUCGACCUGAUCUCUCUUUGCCUCUGUUCAAGAAGGUACCUCACAUGUUGAUCAAAUUGAUGGUUAAUGCAUGGUUAAAAAUUAAUUACUUUGUCAUCAUUAUCUGUUGUUUAGAUUAUACCGGAGAAUCGAGACCAAGACUAUGUUUAUGGUAUGCUUGCCUUUCCCUUAUUGGAGCUUGGACAUUUAGCAGAAGCUGAGAAAGCUGCUAGGAAAGCAUAUGAGAUCAACAAAAACGACACUUGGGCUCAUCAUUGCGUGAGUUCCACGUUUGUUACCCUAAUCUUUUGGUAAUAUUUCCUUUUAUCCAUAUGCAAGCUUACAUUUGUGUGUGUUUUGGACAGUUGUGUCAUGUUCUUCAAACUGAAUGUCGUUUCAAGGAAGCAGUAGAGUUCAUGGAAGGUUGCUCAGCUUCAUGGGAUUCUUGCUCUUCCUUAAGGUAUAAAAAUCAUUUACUAAUUACUUAGAAACAUCUUCUGAUCAUCUACUAAAUAUAUAAAAAAAAAAAAACAAAUGUUUGAAUAGGUAUUCGCAUAAUUGGUGGCAUGUAGCUGUUUGUUACUUGGAAGGAGGGUCACCUCUAAGUAAGGUACAAGAAAUAUAUGAUCAUCAAAUGUGUAAAGAACUGGAGAAAGAAGAUGCUGUUGCUACAGAUGUAAAUAUCCCUUAUCAUGCUUCUUCCCCUUUUAAAAAAUGGAACAUAAGACUUCCAUUAGCAAACUCAUUUCUUAUACUUGUUUGUAUUAUUGAAUUUCAGGUUUAUAUGGAUGCUCUUGGUUUGUUGUUACGCUUGGACACACGCGAUCAACUAGAUGAGUUUUUAGACAGGCUGAAGAUCCUUGCAAACUGCUUGACUGAUCAAGUAAGUAAUUCAUCUGUUUUGCCUUGCAUUUAUUUGCACUUCUUCUAAGACUUUUCGCAAUUUUAAUUGUUCAGGGAAUGUGGUAUCAGGAGUGGCUUUUUGAUAUUACAAUAAUUUGGGCAUUGAGUAAAGUUGGAAACACUUCACAGGCACAUGUAUUGCUCGAGGGCCUCAAGUCCCGGUUAGUAUUACUUCUUUCUCUUUUGUGACAUUUUUCAAAUGAAAUUUUUGUUUCUUAACUCAUUUAAUUCUAACAGAACAUCUAAAAUGAGCAAGAAGAAACAACAGUUGAUGCAGAAAGCCAUCCAGGUCAGUUCUUAUUGAUACUGACUUAUAACUAUAUAUAUGACACUACUUGAAUUCUUUUAUCAAACAAUAAGAUCGUUUUUCUUAAUUUAAAUCAGGUUGCUGAAGCUGUUUAUGAAUAUGGGAAAGGCAACUACAAAAAAGCUCUAGAACUGCUCGGUCCAGACUUUGACGCUGCUGACUAUAAGGUAAUGCAUGUUCUUGCACUUAUGGAAGAAAAUACAGCAAAAUGAUCUCACCUCUUUCGUGUUCAAAAUAGGUGAUUGGAGCAUCGGAUUUACAGAUGGAUGUAUUUAAUGAAAUAUGGUACAAACUGUUGUUACUCAACGGCAAAUCUUCUAGUGGUACACUCACGAAAACACUAUUCUUCAGCUUGUUUUUUCCUUUACACAGCUAACUCUGCGUUUUAAACACAUUGCAGCGAUUAAAGUACUGGAGAGGAGGAUCAGACAGAGAGAUGGUGCUCCUUUCUUGUGGCGUUUGCUGGUAUUCUUUAAGUCACUUUAUAUGUGCAUAAUUAUUGAUUCAGGAUACUUUUAUACGUUUACAUGGAAUGAUUUGUUUUUACGGUUUAUGAAACGUUGAUGUGCUGUAACAGGAGAAGAGUUACGCUAUGGAAGGGAAUACAGAAGCUGUCAUAACUGCGUGUGAGAAAGCCAAGGCGUUGGAAGCUUCAUAUUUCAAGUUUGAUUGAUUGAACCAAAAGAAAAAACAGCAUCGUCCUGUCAUCCUUUUGACAUGCUUUUGCACUCUGUUACAAUAAUUUAACUCGUUAUGGUCAUAUAGGUCAAUGUAAAAAUUGACCUUAAACAUUCUAUGUAAAUUUGGUUCAUAAAAGACUAAUAGACGUUCUCGUAAGAUUACAGAUUCAAAUUGUCAAUAUGUAAGUUUUGUAUUACUUUUUUUGCAGCAACAUAAACAGACUCAAGGAUCUGCUAACUAAAUAGAGGAACUCCAUGUCUUUAUGGACAAAAUAGGACGAUUGACUUCGUACACCGCUUGCAAAAGUGUCCCGCCUUUGUAUUAUCAAUCCUGGGAAUAUGCCGAAGAUGAUCAUUUUUUCAGUAUGAUGCAUCACUAAGAACUUCCAAAUGUCAUUAGUUUGUGAUUAAUAGAAAAACAAAUCUAAGACUUGUUAGUAAUUUUAAAAUAACUGUCACUGGACAUGUUUCUUCAUUUCAUUUGAGAAAUUUUUGAUUUGAAUAUUUUUUUAAUAAUGCUAAGUUUAUUCAAAUUAAUUUUUUUUUAAUAUAUUGCACAAAAAAUACCACAUAUACUUAUAAAUUUUUUAUUUGAAUAAAUUUAACAUUCUUUCAAAAAAAAAUUAUAACCUUACUGAAAAUUUAUUUAUAUUAUAUGUUAUAUAUGAUUUUUAUCAACUACCUAUUAACUCUAUUUUGGUUCUUCUCAGAUUUAACUCCCAGGUUCAAAAGUUAUAAAACAUUAGAAUAUAAUUUAUAAAUUUUAAUCUUGGAAAGUAAAAGAAAUGUUAAUAUUCUGAUUUUGGUCUAGAACACGUGUUAAAAUAUAGCUGGUGUCUUGGAAUUCUCGCCACUGACUCUUUGUCAUGAUUGGAAGUUUGCAAAUCCAGAAAAUGUAACAUUGUGCAUGCAUGUGUGCUACUUUGAAAUCGUGAGACUCGUUACAAACACGUGAAGCAACCAACACGUUCUAAACGCUAACAGAACAUGCUAUCAUAUUGUGCUGACGUCGAAACUAAAACGCGGUAAUAUCCAGUCGGCAAAGUCUGACAUUUCCAGUUUUACUUUACAACACUAACCAGUCCCGUGUUCGUGUCCGCUUAACCACAAAAGCCGAUACACGUAUAAAUACACAGACCACAUCUUCACUUCUUCUUACAUAUUCCCCACUCAUUAAUAUUUUUUUUUAACAGAAGACGAGCAGCUUCGACCAAAAGGAGAAAGACAAGUAGCUUCGACCAAAACGAAACAUCAUCAGCAAUGGAGAUUUUCCAGAAAGCUAAAGCUAUUCGAAUGCGUAACAGCCACAACAAGUAUCUAUCAGCAGACGACAACGAAGAAACGGUUACACAAGACAGAAACGGUUCAACCAAAAACGCUCAAUGGACCAUCGAACCGGUUAGCGAUUCAUACAAUGUAAUCCGUCUUAAAAGCUGUUACGGUAAAUACCUAACCGCUUCGAACGAACGGUUCUUGCUCGGAGGUACAGGGAAGAAGGUGGUUCAGUUAAAACCGAGUCGACUCGACUCGUCUGUUGAGUGGGAACCGGUGAGAGACGGAUCCAAGAUCAAGCUCAAGACGAGAUACGGUAACUAUCUAAAAGCUAACGGUGGUCUUCCUCCGUGGAGAAACUCAGUCACGCACGAUAAUAUUCAUUUGUCGGCUACUUAUGAUUCCAUCUCGUGGUAUGUUGAUGUUGUUGAGAUCUUGAAUAAUCCUCAAGUCACGUUGGAGACCGAGUAUGCAUCACAUUCGAGAACACCGUCCUCUCUUCAAAAUGUGAGUACUUUUUAUAAUUAUAAAAACACCCUCAGAAUU